UACGAAGGGGGCUAGCGUUGCUCGGAAUCACUGGGCGUAAAGGGUGCGUAGGCGGGUUUUUAAGUCAGGGGUGAAAUCCUGGAGCUCAACUCCAGAACUGCCUUUGAUACUGAAGAUCUUGAGUCCGGGAGAGGUGAGUGGAAUUGCGAGUGUAGAGGUGAAAUUCGUAGAUAUUCGCAAGAACACCAGUGGCGAAGGCGGCUCACUGGCCCGGUACUGACGCUGAGGCACGAAAGCGUGGGGAGCAAACAGG
rnacentral:rRNA from 1 species